rnacentral:rRNA from 1 species
AACGAACGCUGGCGGCAUGCCUAACACAUGCAAGUCGAACGAUACCUUCGGGUCGAGUGGCGAACGGGUGCGUAACGCGGGGGAACCUGCCCUUAGGUUCGGAAUAACUCCCCGAAAGGGGUGCUAAUAUCGGCUAAUGUCUUCGGACCAAAGAUUUAGCGCCUUUGGAUGGGCCCGCGUUGGAUUAGCUAGUUGGUAGGGUAAAAGCCUACCAAGGCUACGACCCAUAGCUGGUCUGAGAGGAAGCUCAGCCACACUGGGACUGAGACACGGCCCAGACUCCUACGGGAGGCAGCAGUGGGGAAUAUUGGACAAUGGGCGGAAGCCUGAUCCAGCAAUGCCGGGCGAGUGAUGAAGGCCUGAGGGUUGUAAAGCUCUUUUACCCGGGAUGAUAAUGACAGUACCGGGAGAAUAAGCUCCGGCUAACUCCGUG